rnacentral:rRNA from 1 species
UGGGGAAUAUUGCACAAUGGGCGCAAGCCUGAUGCAGCCAUGCCGCGUGUAUGAAGAAGGCCUUCGGGUUGUAAAGUACUUUCAGCGGGGAGGAAGGGAGUAAAGUUAAUACCUUUGCUCAUUGACGUUACCCGCAGAAGAAGCACCGGCUAACUCCGUGCCAGCAGCCGCGGUAAUACGGAGGGUGCAAGCGUUAAUCGGAAUUACUGGGCGUAAAGCGCACGCAGGCGGUUUGUUAAGUCAGAUGUGAAAUCCCCGGGCUCAACCUGGGAACUGGAACUGAUACUGGCAAGCUUGAGUCUCGUGGAGGGGGGUAGAAUUCCAGGUGUGGCGGUGAAAUGCGUAGAGAUCUAGAGGAAUACCGGUGGCGAAGGCGGCCCCCUGGACGAAGACUGACGCUAAGGUGCGAAAGCGUGGGGAGCAAACAGG